rnacentral:lncRNA from 1 species
ACUUCUGCCAGAGUUCACUCAUAAGAAAUAAUGCAUGAGACCCAGCACACAAUCAGAGGGAAAUGAUUAUAUGAUGUCCACCAUGAAUGUCACCUGGCUGCCGGAAGCAAUCAGGGGUCUAAUGGAUUUCUGAGACCUACUGCCAUAGUGGGACGGGGGACAGAGCAGCCCCUUCAAGUAGAGAUGGGAAGUCCAAGAGCAGUCACAAAGAAACAGCCAGCCUCAGGUGCUCAGAAAAAUCUUCUGAAAUUCUCCCUUGGAAUCUCUCAUCAUAACAAACACUGCAAAAGGGACAUUUUGUGGAAAUCAUGUCAGGGACAAGAAAGUGGAGAGAUUCUCAGAAAUGAAAAGGUCACACGAGUUGAGAUGACUUCGAGGGGCCAUGGCACUACCACUUCUGUGACUCAAGCUACCAUCUUUACUCACUUCCACCCCUAG